rnacentral:misc_RNA from 1 species
GCAAACUUGGUCAUUUAGAGGAAGUAAAAGUCGUAACAAGGUUUCCGUAGGUGAACCUGCGGAAGGAUCAUUGCCGAACGGACGCCCGGUUACCCGUCAAAAAGGAAACCGGGUGUCUUUUUCGACCAACCCAUGUGAACUCGUUCAACGUGUUUAACAGUCGUGUUGUCGUUGUGUAUUUAUUUAUACAACAACACACAACUGUCCAAACAUUUUUAACAAACCACAUUUCUGAACACUCUUGACUGAGACUUAUAGGUCACGCCUAAAAACGUUGAUCUCAAAAACCUAACCAUUACAACUUUUAACAACGGAUAUCUUGGCUCGCGCAUCGAUGAAGAACGCAGC